CUUAGGGAAGCCAACCACUAUGUCAUGAGGACACUUAAGCAGCCCUGUGAAGAGAAUCACAUAGGAAAGGAAUUGAGGCCUCCUACCAGCCAGCACCAACUUAUAAGCCAUCUCUUAUGAUCCCUGAGCCUCUCUGUGAACCAUACUGCCUGGGAAGAUACUCAACUCGGUCCUUCCCCUCAGAAUUGGUGUGGAUUACUUUUACUUACUGUGAAUCCUUUACUUCCAGACCACCCCUUCUUUACUGUUGCCCACAAACCAGAAACUCAAGGAGAGAUGUAGCUGAAUUAAGAAAUGUUCUUUUAACUUAAACAAUUUUACAAGAAAAAACCAAACAACCCCAUCAAAAAGUGGGCAAAGGAUAUGAACACACACUUCUCAAAAGAAGACAUUUAUGCAGCCAACAGACGUAUGAAAAAAUGCUCAUCAAAUGGUCAUCAGAGAAAUGCAAAUCCAAACCACAAUGAGAUACCAUCUCAUGCCAGUUAGAAUGGCGAUCAUUAAAAAGUCAGGAAACAACACAUGCUGGAGAGGAUGUGGAGAAAUAGGAAUGCAAUGAAUAAAUGAUACAUAUAAGUAUUUAUUAAUGUAGUUAAGAUCAGUUCACUUGGGUUUUCUGACUCAUUUUCAGUGGACCAUAUAUUAGUAUUUCACCAGGAUAAUCCCUUUCCCAUGCAGUGAAACUCUUCUGUGACCUGUGACUUCUGUGUUGGUGGGAGUGUAAAUAGUUCAACCAUUGUGGAAGACAGUGUGGUGAUUCCUCAAGGAUCUAGAACUAGAAAUACCAUUUGACCCAGCAAUCCCAUUACUGGGUAUAUACCCAAAGGAUUAUAAAUCAUGCUACUAUAAAGACAUAUGCAUGUGUAUGUUUAUUGCAGCACUAUUCACAAUAGCAAAGACGUGGAACCAACCCAAAUGUCCAUCAAUAAUAGGCCAGAUAAAGAAAAUGUGGCACAUAUACACCAUGGAAUACUAUGCAGCCAUAAAAAAGGAUGAACUCAUAUCCUUUGCAGGGACAUGGAUGAAGCUGGAAACCAUCGUUCUCAGCAAAUCACCACAAGGACAGAGAACCAAACACUGCAUGUUCUCACUCAUAAGUGGGAGUUGAACAAUGAGAACACAUGGACACAGGGAGGUGAACAUCAUACACCAGGGCCUGUUGGGGGGUGGUGGGCUGGGGGAGCGAUAGCAUUAGGAGAAAUACCUAAUGUAAAUGAAGGGUUGAUGGGUGCAGCAAACCAACAUGGCACAUGUAUACCUACGUAACAAACCUGCACAUUGUGCACAUGUACCCUAGAACUUAAAGUAUAAUAAAAAAAAUUUAAAACCCACUAGCAAAAAAAAAAUGUUCUUUUUUUGGUUAUCAACAUAAAAUAAACUUUCUAGAAUUUCCAAAAAUUUAAUCAGAUAUCUCAAAUUUCCUGAAGUCCUGUUUGUUGGUGAAUUCUUGGUAUUUCUUUGAAUCGUUCACUUUCAGUAAUCA
rnacentral:lncRNA from 1 species